GACAGAGGGUGCAAACGUUGUUCGGAAUUACUGGGCGUAAAGCGUGCGCAGGCGGUUCGUCGUGUCCGAUGUGAAAGCCCCGGGCUCAACCUGGGAAUGGCAUUGGAAACUGGCGGGCUUGAGUGUGGCAGAGGGGGGUGGAAUUCCGCGUGUAGCAGUGAAAUGCGUAGAGAUGUGGAGGAACACCGAUGGCGAAGGCAGCCUCCUGGGCCAGCAC
rnacentral:rRNA from 1 species